GAGGGGACGAAGUGGGGGAGGUUUUGGGAAAAGGGGCUCCCCCCCCCCCCCCACCGCCAUCACCACCUUGGGAUGGGGCGCACUGAGGAUGGAUGGACGGACAGGCGUGUUGUUGAGGGGUGGCUCCGUUUUUGGUCUCGGGGGACCGUGGUGGUGGUCGCUGAGGGGUUUGGGGAUGGCCAAACCCUCGCCUCGCUGUGCCCGGCACGGGCAAAGAGCUGCCGCCCUCCCCUUCCCAAAUGGGGAGCUGUGGAAGCGCACACAAGGCCGGCUGCCCUUCCCAAAAAGACCUAUUGCUUCUUCCCUCCCGAAGGCAGCAAUCUCCCAUUCCGAAACCAGCCACAAUAAUACAUAACAGGCUCAAAAAUAAAAGUUUGGGGGCUGCCGGAUAGGGAGCUGGAUAAAAAAUCCCCCCACAACCCCGCGUCCAGGCGAGGAGAUGGAGCCCCAGCAAACUGCGCCUGGGAACAAAGGGGGAAGCCGCUCGCUGCCUCCGCUCGCAGCUGUGCCAGGUGGAGCCGGCUCAGGAACCCUCUCCUGGUGGCCGUGCUGGGGUUAGGGAAUGAUUUGUGCCCUGGACGGUGUGCCUCAGACCCCGGUGAUGGAGGUGAUGGUGUAGGGACGGGGCUUCAGCCCUCAGCCUCAGCGCCUGGCGUGCCGGAGACGUGGCCCUGCCGAAAUAACGCCCCUCGCUCCGGGAGGCCGGAGGAGUUGGGAGCUGAAAAUGUCAGCCCGGCUCCGAGCAGGCCACAGGGGCUGCGGGGUGGGUCUUGGCCUCCUAAAACAUCCCCUCGGUGCCUGUGCUGGAGGAAAGGUUUCUCCAUCGCCUCCCUGCCCCGCUGGGCAACGCGUGGCCCCGCUGGCCGGGCAGGGCGCGAUGGACGGGGGCUGUCUCCUCCUGGGAAGGGGCAGCUCUUGGUAUCAGCACCAAAACUCCGCCAAAUUGCUUAAUUUGGGCAAUCCGCAGCGUAUUGUGCACCAAAGAGGGCCGUAAUGGAGACUUAAUGCCUUCUUUCGGCAGCAGACCCGUAAUUAAGUUACAGAGGGCGUGUGACGGAUCCUUUGAAAGGGGUGAAGGAAUGCGUUUCUUCAGGGUUCUGUCUUUUUCUUCCCCGUGUGGGAUGGAGCGCUUUGGAUUGCAAAUCCCACGAGGAGCCCUGCGAUGCCCAUUUACAUCGGGGAAGGCUGGAGUCACGCUGGGACAUCCCCUACCAGGUCCUGUGGCAGAGCCAGCGGUCUAGCAGCCACCCGAUUUUGGGGCAGGAAUCCCCAAAAGGACGGUGAUCGCGGCAUUGUCCGGAGACGGGUGUUAGUCCUGGAUGUUUUCCCGUGCUGGUGCGGGAAGGGCUCUCCCACCUGGAUUUGCCUGUGCUUGCAGGAGAGCUCGGAGCCAGAUCUGCAGCGUCUGUGCACGAAUAAAACAGUUAAAGAUGCAGCUUGGCGGGUCGGGCUCCUUCAGCCCCGGGAAGGAGGGCUGAGCAUCACUUUUUAUUGUGCUUCUCUUUUUGGUUUAACCUCCAGAGGGGCUGUCAGCUCUGGGAAGGGCCGAAUGGGGAGAGCUGGGAGCGUUGCGGUAGGGCUGAGGGCGUUUUUCUCCCCGCUGCUGGCAAAAGAAACGAGCUAAUGUCCUGGUGACAGGAAGGCAUCUUCGGGGGAAGGUGGGGAGGGGGAAGAGGAAGACGAACCUGAAAUCCUAAAUGGCUUUUGAUUGCCAUGAAGCGCUGGGGCAGACAAUCGCUGGGAUUACCACACUGACAAAGCAUCCUGGGGAGCUGAAUCGCUGGCACAGCGAGCCAAACGGGAAGCUGCUCGCAAGGCUUUCCCGGGGUGGCAGCGUGUGCAGGGCCUUGAUACCGCUGAAAGGAAUUAGGGAUUCAGGGGCUGAAUGCCUCCGCGCUGCCGCGGCUCAAAGGCCAUUGACGGGCAGAGCUAAAAGGGGCUGGAGCGGAAAGCAUUCGCUGCUCCUCGCUGCUGUGAAUCCCGAUAGGGUCUAACAAGAGGGGAAGCAAUCCACUUCCUGAACAUCAAUCACGAGCCAAAUGACCACUGCAAGGCAAAGCGGGCCCGCUGGAUUUCCAGGAGCCGCCGGCCCUUUGAAACAGUCGGGCUUUUGUGCUCUGCGAGGCAGAGAAAUAAGCUUCAGAUCUCCAGGUUUUGGUGUUUUUUUUUUUUUCUUUUUUUGCAGGGCGGAUUCGUAGCUUCGGUGAUUGCAUCUGACAGCCAGGUUAGAGGAGCUUCCCUUCGAGCAGGCCGGCAAAAUGCGGCCUCAGAAACAGCAGUGUCACAUCAAAGGGCGUGAAAUAGCCAGGAAAAGAGCAGUGCAGGAAGGAGUUAAAGGACGGCCGGGGUUCAGGGAAAGUGCAGCACUGCGUGCUAAUGGCUUUGCAGUUGAGGGGAGUUGUCCUGAAAGAGCUGCAGGAAGGAGAGGCAGUCAGGGCUAAGCACUCUCCCUGCAAGAUUUAAGCCUGCUGUCUCAAGAAUAGAAAUAUCGAGCCGUUAACCCUUUUUUCUUUCCCUUUUUUUUAGCGUUUUCCAUAGCAACUAGAUUUCCAGGGAAACCCGACAGGAGAGCAGUGCGAAUGCUGCUGAUGGCCGGGUGUCAGAGGUUGGGACACGGCGUGAGUGCCCCGUGUCCCUGCAGGAGCAGAGCCGUGGCGUUUCCCAGAGCCCAGAGCUGGCGGCUGUGGGGUUUUCUGGUCACUAGCGAGGUGGGAAGGUGGAUUGGGGGGUGUGCGUUCACAUCUCCUGGGAGAAUUCACGUGCAGUGGCUGUGAACAUCGUGACGGAGCGAUGCUCAGCUUAGCAGCAGUGCCACAGGAAAAUUCCUGCUCCUGUGUCAUCCGGCACAAAUAUGAUGUACCUGGGCUCUCCUAGCAGGAAACGGGAUUUUUUCCUAAAAUUUCAGAGAAUGUUCAUGGGACAGAAGGACACAAAUCACGUAGGAUUGAUUGCUGCAUGGGGAUGUGGAGAUAUUAAGUUGCCCGCAGGGGAUGGAUCCCUUUCUGUCCCUUCCACAAGGAAAAUCCGUGUGUACUCAGGGACAGAAACCCGGCAUCUCAUUAAUUCAAAGGACUUUAAGGAGCUGUGGAAGCUGCUUAGGUUCUCUGUUAAAUCCCCCUGUAGCAAAUCUUGGUGGAAAGGUGGGACCUGGGUUCCUGUAGAACAAUUGUGCAAAGUUAGCACUAAUUGAACAUAAAGUUUGCUGAAAUGUGUGUCCGAGAAGGAAGUCCUGUAGGUCCCUUAUCUUGCUGAUAACGAUUUCCGUCAGGUUAAUUACACAACAUGACCAUUUCUGCAAACUCAAAACGAUUUCUCUGGUCUCAGCUAAGUUCCCAAACUGUGCGGACAAAAGCAGAACAUAUUUUUCUGUAAUUGUCUCUAAUUCGGGGUCUCUACAAAGGGGGCACUGUCUGCGCGAGGUAGCAGGCUGUUUCUGCCAAGUCUGCGGAGCUGAGGAUAAAGCAAGGUAACUCAAAUAAAUAAUAAACGCUGCGGAAACCGAAGAGACAACGUUCCAGAUCUGUGCUGCUCCAAGCUGUGCUUUUAUAGCUUACUUUUAAAUGAAGAAAUUACGACAGCACUCAGAAGCUACAGUAGUGGUCACUUUUUAUAACACGUGCAUAUAUUUUUUAGAGCUAUCUUUGUGCACACGGCUUUCUGUACACAGCUUUCAGAUACCUGUAAGAGCUCUGUCAAAGUCUUUGCCUCCAGUUUGCUGGUGAUUUGCUCAGAUUAAGGAGCACGUGGGAUAUCCCAGCUGUUACCCGGCCAGUUGAGGGAUGAUAAAAUUGACUCGUUAGCCAACCACACUGGAGCAGUCCCAACAUCCUCUGCUGAGAGGUUUCUUCUAAGGAAGCGUUGCCUAAUUUUUAUGUCUACAUGCUUGCUUAAAUUGCAUUUUCAUUCCUCUUCUCGCUGCUGGCUUCUCGUUUGUUGGAGUGCUGUGCCUGGUGUGCUGAGAGAAAGCAGGUCGCACAUGGCACGCGUGUUUCCAGCGCUGCUCCUAGGCAGGUAACACAGAGCCUUGCUGUCCUGAUUCAUGCACAUCCUCCCGUUUAACCGAGCAGACUCAGAUUACACCAAGGAGAUAAGCCUGGGAGCUGCCUGGUUUUUAAAUGACCAGCGCAGUGCACUUAUUGGCUGUGUUCACAACCUGAUAUUUCGCUCUGGACAGAGUCGAGCACGGCAGGACCUGAAGCUGGCCGAGGCCACCAGCGGUGACCACAGGGGAGGUGAUCCCUGCAGGAGCCUGGUGGCAGUGACACCGGGGCUGCAAUUCCUUAAAACAACUGAGGAGGACCCAGGAAUCCACAAGGGGGUUGGGAGGAUGCCAGGUUUCUCUUAAAAUAUUUUAUUUUUUUAUUACUAUCAUCAAAGGUGGAAUUAAUUUGCAGAUACGUUCUGCAAAUCUUCCCUUGGAGAAGCCUUUGACCAGAAGAGCGAUAUCAGGUGGUGCGUGGAGAGCAGGGCUCUGUCAAGGAGCCCAGCAGGUCAGGUUGCUGCCCAUAACCUGAGACAGGGAACCGAGCUAAAGAUGGGAGGGCUGGCAAGAAAUUCAGCCGGUAACACGUGGAUCUGCGCAAUCACUCGUGGCCGAGCCAGGUCUGCCUCUUUGCAGCAUCAGAGACAGCAAUUAAAAGCAGCUUUGAUCCGAAUCCAUCCCUACAUUUACCAAUCCUUGGUCCUGGUGGUGGCUGGGGCCAGAAGGAUGUGCUUGCAGCGACCUUAAAAUCUGCGGUUCUUCUUUCCCUAGGUGCAGUAACAUUUCCUGAACAAGCUGUUCUUUUUGUAUUCUUUCUCCAAAAAGGGGAUGCACGAGGCAGCGAGCUGUGGCUUGGGCAUGAGGAGCAGCCCGCGGCAGCGCCGCUCCUGGGGUUAUUUCGGCGCUGGGCUCCUGUUUUAGCCUGAAACUGAACCGUGGACAGGGCCCAAGAAAUGAUGGGGCCAAACUGGCCCUGGGCCAAGGGGCUUGAGGCAACGGGAGGGCUGGAAAUGAAAUCUGCCAGGGUUUGUGGACGUCCAUGCGUUUUGUUCCCCCUGCGGUGAAUGGGGGCUCUGUCCCGGCGAUGCUCCAGGGGGUCCCCAGGGGAGGGGCGCUGGGGAGAGAGCUGGGAGGAAAAUUAAACCGGGAACCUACAGAGGAGGGGAGGCAAAUAAAUACAUAAAUAAAAGUGAAGGCCGCUCCCGGAGAGCCCAGAAAAGCCCUAAAACUUGGGCUGGGAGAAGACAUCCCACCUUGCCUGUGGCUCCCAGCCCUUAUGCAGGCAGACCUCAGGGUAUCGAGAGCAUUAAAAAUGAGGGAUUGAAAUGGGAAAGCACUAAGGACCUGCUUUUUGGGGAGGAAGCCUGUAAAUUUGGAUCAUGCGUUGCUUUGGGAAGAACAUUUUUCCAC